GUAUAAAAGAAGGUGAAAGACACGCACUGUCAUUGCAACUGGAACGUCACUAGAAAACUAGCAAGGAGACACAUCUGUGCCGAUCAGGACUUCACCGUGAUCUCUAGAAGAUCAACAAUUUAAAGAAGAAGAGAGAAAAUGUUCCUGCCCCAGAGAUCUCUGCAGAUGGUUACAUUUUUGGCAGUUCUUUUUCUUUCUUGUUUUGCAACAUCGCAAGACACUGAAAAUAAAAGAGCAGUGACGGAGCAUCAGCUCAUGCAUGACAAAGGGAGGGCAUUUCAAGGGCUGAAGCGCCUGAUGUGGCUCCACAAUGCCCUGGGUAGCGUGCACACAGCCAGCAGCAGGGAUGUUUCGCUUUCAAAUGCCAUGUGGGAUUCUCAGAAGAGCCGAGAUCCCUCAGAGCUUGAAAACAGCAUCAGCAGAGACGAGACUUCAAGCGUGAUGAAGCAGCUGCUGGAACCGAUGGAAAAAGAGCAAGGCUUCCCCCUGUUAAAGAAGCCAGGUAUACUGCAAUAUAUGAAGACCCCAAAGGGUAACUGGAACCACAAGACCUUUUUAACCUCCUUCAAAUCAAUGAGCUGAGCAGCAAGAGAAAUCCUAGUGCCCAGCCACUGAACUGUUCCUACUAGUCUGAAUCCAGCUCAGUUUAUCCAUUGCUUUAGACAUGUGAUGUUGUGAGGAAAAGCUCUAAUGCAAAGGUGAACCGCAAAAGAAAAAUAAUGUUCAUUUGUUCCAUUAACUACUCCUAGAUGCUGAAUAAAGAAAGCCUCAUAAGGACCCCA
rnacentral:lncRNA from 1 species